ACUCUAUUACAAACAUAGACUGUGCAGCAGCUUGGCACAUGCAGUGAUAGGAGAGCAGAUAUUUAUCAUACCAAGUUACUUGAAUUGGAAUUGAGGAAAUUCCCUGCAAUCCGCAAACUGAAGUAAUAUUCAUAGCUAGUUUAGUUAAGCAAACUGAGUCGUUUAGCAUGGAAGUGUCACGAAUACCACCGAAGGUGGCUCCCCUUCCUGCUUGGGUGGCGCUCGGCGGUCCUCGUCGCCGGUCUAUUAGCUGCCACCGAUCCCUUUUUCCUUUUCGUUUGUUUUUGUCUAAUUGUUUUCACCUGUUCCUUGUUGGGGUUUUGGGAUGGGUGUUAUUGAAGUUCGUUUUGCCCGCUGGUGUUUGUGCGGGCUUGUUACGUUUGGUGAUGUAUCGUGUUUGUUUUGAGUUUUCGCUGUACAGUGUUUGUAACUAGGUUUUGGGUUUGUUUAGCGCCAGUGUUUUAGGGCAUUCACCCAUGUUUGGACCUGUUACGUUUUGAAGGACAUUAAAGCGUUUUUCCCGUUCA